rnacentral:rRNA from 1 species
UACGAAGGGGCUAGCGUUGCUCGGAAUCACUGGGCGUAAAGCGCACGUAGGCGGAUCGUUAAGUCAGGGGUGAAAUCCUGGAGCUCAACUCCAGAACUGCCUUGAUACUGACGACUUGUAGUCGGGAGAGGUGAGUGGAACUGCGAGUGUAGAGGUGAAAUUCGUAGAUAUUCGCAAAGAACACCAGUGGCGAAGGCGGCUCACUG